UUGUCCUACUUCCACGACGUGGUGCCAUUCGACGGACUCUGGCUGGACCUGAACGAGCCGUCGAGCCUGUACAACGGCUCCGAGCGCGGAUGCCCGGCUUCAACGCUGGAGGAACCGCCGUAUCUGCCCGGCGAAGGCUACGAGGCGUUGCGCACCAAGACGCUAUGCAUAACGGGUCGCCACUACCUGCCCAGGCACUACAACUUGCACAACCUGUACGGGCUGACCGAGGCACUGCGCACAUACGAAUGGAUCAAAUCCCGGCCGUGGCAGACGCAUUUCGAUAAAGG
rnacentral:lncRNA from 1 species